GGCAGUGUAGCAUAGUGGUAAGGAGCUGGAUUCAUAACCAAAAGGUUGCCGGUUCGAUUCCCCGCUGGGG
rnacentral:tRNA from 1 species